rnacentral:rRNA from 1 species
UACGUAGGGCGCAAGCGUUGUCCGGAAUUACUGGGCGUAAAGCGCACGUAGGCGGAUCCUUAAGUCGGUGGUGAAAUCCUGAAGCUCAACUUCAGAACUGCCUUCGAUACUGGGGACCUUGAGUUCGGGAGAGGUGAGUGGAACUACGAGUGUAGAGGUGAAAUUCGUAGAUAUUCGCAAGAACACCAGUGGCGAAGGCGGCUCACUGGCCCGAUACCUGACGCUGAGGUGCGAAAGCGUGGGGAGCAAACAGG